rnacentral:rRNA from 1 species
UACGUAGGGGGCAAGCGUUGUCCGGAUUUAUUGGGCGUAAAGAGCGUGUAGGCGGCCAUACAGGUCAGCUGUGAAAACUCGAGGCUCAACCUCGAGACGUCGGUUGAAACCGUAUGGCUAGAGUCCGGAAGAGGAGAGUGGAAUUCCCGGUGUAGCGGUGAAAUGCGCAGAUAUCGGGAAGAACACCCAUGGCGAAGGCAGCUCUCUGGGACGGUACUGACGCUGAGGCACGAAGGUCAGGGGAGCAAGCGGG